UACAGAGGGUGCUAGCGUUGUUCGGAAUCAUUGGGCGUAAAGGGCGUGUAGGCGGUUUGUUAAGUCAUGUGUGAAAUCCCUCGGCUCAACCGGGGAACGACGCAUGAAACUGGCAAGCUAGAGUACCAAAGAGGGGGGUGGAAUUCCCGGUGUAGCGGUGAAAUGCGCAGAUAUCAGGAAGAACACCAAUGGCGAAGGCAGCUCUCUGGGACGGUACUGACGCUGAGACGCGAAAGCGUGGGGAGCGAACAGG
rnacentral:rRNA from 1 species